rnacentral:lncRNA from 10 species
AGGAGCCUGCCCUCUUGAGCUCUUGUGGUGACCUGGGAAUCAAUGUGUGAGGUGGUGCUAUGUAGCAGGAACCCCUCUUGCUUUGCAAAUAGUUUUUUGUUUGUUUUCCUUUUUGCCCAAUAGAGCCCUGCUCUACUGACCCUUCAAUGUGCCCGUGUGCCUAAAUAUUCCUGGUCGUGUGAAAAGAACCCAGGUAUUAGCUGAACUAAGGAGCACAAUUCUGCAACAUUUUGGCACCCAAACACGGGGCUUGAGAAAUGAAUGCAAUUGGAGAAACUGGUUGUUUUACCAGGCGUUGAUUGGAAAUGUGUGCUUCCCUUUAAGCAGUCAAGCUCAACUUGCAGAACUGAUGGGAACCCCUUGGGAAAACUGGCCUCAAAUGUUUGUCUACACAGUCCACAUACAGGGUUCUUAACCUGCGGUGAGUAAAGAAUGUCACUUUCCAACAGGCCCAGAUAUCAUAUGCUCUUGGGACCUCAAGAAGAGAGGAGUUUACCCAAUUCAUAGGUGUGUGAGGAUAAAAACCUAGGGCUGGGCUCAGCUUUAAAUGGUCUUAUCUGAGAUUCUUUGUGAAACAGAUUUUCAUGAAAGCCAAUCUAGAGGGCCUACGUAGAAAUAAUUGUUUUUGCUGCACUUUAUGCACAUAAUCAAGCCAAUUAUAAGACUAAAGUCUAUAUUGCAAGCAACACACUCCUAUUAUGAUUUGUUUUUAACAGAAAUGAGGACGAGACAGAGAGAAAUUAUGUUUCAAAACUUAUCAUCAUUAGUUUCUAGACUUAUUAUUUCUUUUUAAGUUUUUACCUACAUUUUAGACUGACCCUGCUUGUGCCUGUGAACCAACCAACAAUCUCUGGCUGCAGCUCAGAAAGGACAAAAGAGAAUGGAUGAGGGAAACUUCCCAGGGCUUGUCUGGGUAUGCCCACAGUGGACUGGAGCCCAAAAUGCACACUGGAGGAAGUGGAUGGAGCCACGUGGAUGUCAUGCCUUAUGCAGGGGAGGAGCCUGCUCUCUUCAGCUCCUGUGGUAAUGUGGGAAUCGAUCUGUGAGGAAACACUUUCUGAAAAUGUCAGAACUCUUGAAAACAUGGAUGAGGAAAAGCAUAAGUACUGCUUUAUGCUUUUCUUAUGAAUUUUAAAAGAUGUAAUUUAAAGGUACUUUAAAGUGAUAUUUGUGCCCUUGUAACUGAUUCAAAGUAGACUGCUAAGGACAAUAAGUAAUAAGAGUCUACAAAUAUCAGUAAAUUAUGAGAAAAAACGGUCUAAUGGUACUUAAAAUUGCAUUGUGAUUUAUUAAAUAACAUUGAACAGCUCCACCUGUAACAUUAAGAUUCCAUUUGAGCAUAUAGAAAAUAUAUUUAUCGCAACCUGAAGUGAUUUGGAAAGUAUGCUGGGAAGAAAAUAUAUUUACAAAUUAGUCUCAGAGGGUAGGUAUCCUGUAGCCAGAUGGAAUAAGAAGAGAGGGAAGGGAGAUUUUGUUCAAAGGGGGAGCAUAAGCUAAGGAAUAAAGCCACAAACAAUGAUUAAAUUAGGUAAAGUGCAAUUAGCUGAAUAUUGCAUAAGCAUACAUAUGGGAAGAAGUGGAAAAAGGAGUGACAAUAUGAAGCUAAAGGGUUUGAAGUGUUCAAGAUAAUACUAGGCUUCCUAGCCUAUUCCGAGACAUCUUGUUUUAGAGUGCAAUAGAUAAGAACUCUAAGGAUGAAAGUAGGAGACAUGCAUUCUAGUCUACGUUUUGGUUAAUGGACUGAAAGUGAAAGAUGGACUGAAAUUGGGGGAUGGAAUAAAAAUGUGAUAGAAUAGAAAAUAGAAAAAGCAAUUAGCCUAAUGUCAUUGAUACUUAGAGAAAAUAUGGAAAAUAGUAAAUUAGUGAUAUAUAUCUUUUCUAAUUCACCAGGGUGAGUGAACAAAGGAAAUCGGAUUUAAAAGUAUUCAUGACAUAGAUGCAAUAAGGUUUCUCAGUCAGACAUAGCAAAUUGAGGGAAGGGAAGAUUUAGAGGAUUGGAAAAUGUCUUGCUUGUAGACUAAUAGGAUAUCAAUAAGCCAUAUGAGCAAUAAUUUGAAAUAGUUUUUGUAAAGUAUCAUGAAGGUAAACCCUGUUUAGAACAAAUUAGAUUUGAAGUACUUGUGACAAAUGCAAUUGACAAUGCCUUUAUGCAGCUGGAAAAUUGUUGCUUAGCAGAAAAGCUUGUGCUGGACAAAUAGAUGUCCAAAUUGAAUAGAUGUUUUCUUAAGCUGAACUAAUUGAGACAAAUAUCCUUAUUAAAUCAAAAAAUUAAAAAUUGAAAUAACUUACCUAUGAUAGGGUAAAUAAUGUUAUUAAUAUACACAAGAAAUAUGUGAUGUAUAUGUGUAUGUACAUAUGUAUACAUAGUAAUAAUACAUAGUGCUAUUUUUAAAUGAUAUUUUACAUAGUGCUUUUUUAAAUGAUUUUUCAAUCAUCGUUGUUGGUCUGUGUUAUUUUAAUCAUCAAAGCUGAUUGAUUUCUGUUUUUGUGUUUUUUUUUGUUUUUUUUGAGGUGGAGUCUCACUCUGUCACCCAUGGUGGAGUACAGUAGUGCGGUCUUAGCUCACUACAAACUCCACUUCCCUGAUUCAAGUAAUUCUUGUGCCUCAGCCUCUCGAGUAGCUUGGAUUGCAGGCAUGCACCACCACGAGCUGCUAAAUUUUUUGUAUUUUUUGUAGAGGGGUUUUGCCAUGUUGGCCAAGCUGGUCUCAAACUCCUGACCUCAAGUGAUCCGCCCUGGCUUCCCAAGCCCAGCUGAUUCCUGUUUAAAUAAAAACUUACAAAGAUCUUCCCACAAGUACUUUAUCUUACAAUUUACUGAACAAUAGAGGCAGUGAAGAUGUUUUUCAGAAAGCAAUUGUGAUCCUGACAUUUUCUUCUUAUAAUCCUGUGCUUUCCUCAUUUUUUUAUAUUAAAAGUAAUAGUUCUUGUGAUGGCAACUAGGAUUUGUAACAACAUGUACCCUCAUUUCCUGCAUGACCUUUUUUAUGUCACUUCUUCACAUGCAAAGUAUACUCCCUCAGUGUCAUUACAUUAUUUGAUUUUUGCCCUUUCCCUCACCUUUCCAUGUGUUUAUUUGCCUAUGCCCAUCUCCUAGUCACAUUUUAUCUAGUUAACGCCAACUUGACUUUCAAUGCUGUUCAAGAUUUACCUCAAUCUCAAGUGUUUUCUCUUUAUAUUCCAUACACGCUUAGCUUGGCUGCCAAUCCUCUUGGCUGCCAAAGAAUCCCAAAUUAUCUCUUUCAAAAAUACAAGAAAUAAAGGAUGGAGGAUAGGAAGGAGGGUGGUCAGGAAAGAACAAAGAAAGGAGGGGAGAGGAAAAAAAGAGAGAAAGAAAGAGAAUUAAAGUUAAGGAGGAAGAAUUUCACACUGAAUUAAAAUUGAUAAUAUUCAGGAAUGAUUUUAUAGUAGGCAUACAUUGAUAAAUAUUAGUUAAAUUAAUGAAUUAUUCCAAAAGAUCAUGAUUUGUAAAAAUUACCCUGAAGCACUUUAGGAAUAUUACAUUGAAAUAGGUAUGCAAUUUCUAAAGAAACUGGACUGCAAAAAUAGCCAUUGUGUGUACCUGUGGACCAGAAUAUUAUAUUUUGCUUAAGUUUGAAGUGUUAAAGUGCCCAACGUGCUCUUAUUUUAACCUAGCAAAUUUUCAGCAGAACUUAAGCUCAUAUAGUAUUUGAUUUUUUCAUUUCUCACAACUGUUGGAAUUCUGUUUUAUUGAAAAUUAUACAAUAAAAUGUUAAAAAAUCUUUGUUCCUGCAGUUAUGCAAUCUUAUGCCAAAGUCAAUAAAUUAUUAAAUUAAAAUCAAACCCACUAAGCCUAACAAUUUGAGAAAAUGAUUAUUAAAACAUAUACCAUUUAGAAGGGCAAUGCCUUUUUAAUAUUAUAGUGAAGACAACCCUAUCAAUUAUUUAAUACACCAAGAAUACAAGGAUAUAAAAUCUUUUUCUCUCAUAUAUCACAUUAUCUGAUGUAUUUAGCUGUGAUGACAUUCCAGAAAACAUCACUUUUUAAAAUUUCUAAGAUUUUAUUAUGUUGCUAGCAAAUCGAUUUUUUUCAAGUACUGUAACAAAAUCCCUAAAUGGGCUUUAUGAGAACUAUUUUCAGUGUGAUAUUAAUCAUAUUUUAUUUAUCAUCCAUACAUAGAUGGUAGCUUAUCUGGUAUUCCUAGUGUUUGAAGUGAAGAGUAACACACACACACAUCCCAAUACCAAUUUAAUUGAUAAAUAUAUAAUCAUUUGUUUUCAAAUAUUUAUGUUGAUACUUGCUUGUGUACUUACUUGUAAUGUAGGUCUGUAAAAGGGACUGUUUUCUUUCUGUGAAACUGAAGCUUAAAGCAGUGCUUGUCACAAAUUCAAAAUCACCUUGCUUUGUCAACAUUUUCAGAUGUUUUUGGCUCAGUCUGAUGACAGCAUCAGUGCAGUAAAGGGAUCUUAUUGAAAUGUUUUAACUAAAGAUAAAAUGCCACCACUAGGAGAAAAAUAAAAUCAAGGAAAUAAACAGAAAAUCAAUAAAUGUGAAAUGUAUUAUAAAUUUAUAUAAUAACAAUGUUGUAUGCUAUAAACAUCUCACUUUGUAAAAUUAACAAGAAUUCAGUGAGGCAGAUCAUUUUCUAUGUGUUCAGAAGUCAAGUCUUUGAUGGCUAAUUUUUAUAUUACUUCAUUACAAUAUCUCUACUGAAGCAAAAUAAUUGCAAAUCUUUUUGAAUGAAAUCAAUUUAUCUUUAAUUUUAGAUAAUAUUUGGUAUAGUUGGCAUAGUUUUGUCACAAAGCAUAGCUAACAUCAAUGUAGCCUUACGACUUCAAAUGUCUUUAUAGAUCUUUUCUGAAAUUGCAAAAUUUUACUUUGAAAUUAUUGUUAAUAUUUACGUUGCACAACCACAAAUGUAGAAAUAAAAUUAUAAAGUCUCCAGAUAAUGUUUUAUUUUAACCACACAUAUGUUGUGAUAGUUUCAAAUAAAUGAAAGCUCUACUGAUUUAUCAUUUUCAACAUCUUUACAUUAUUUAAGUAAUAUUAAUUAUAUUUAUGUAAAAAUACCUGAAUAGUCAUAACGAAAAUUUAAUAAUAAUGUAUAAUAUAUUGUUAACAUCUUUUAUUUUCACAAAAACACCAAGGAAGAAGCAGUGAGUAUUUUUUAUUUAUUUUAAAAAUUAACUUUUCAAUAAAUUAUUUAGGAAUGACUGGAAAUGUGCUGAGACAAAGAAGCAGUUGUCACUGUACACAAACAUGAAAUCAAUUACCUUUUGGAGAGUUUAUGAUGUGUGAGAGCUAGUGAAGUUACAUUGCAGAAGAGCAUAUAAGGAAAUCCAGAUCUGUAUAUAUUGUAGUAUAGUUUUAGUAUAAAUCUCUAAGAUUACACUUUAGACUAAGCCACAUAGUCAAACUGUUGUCUAUUUAUUCCUUUUGAAGAUUGAAACUCCCACAACUUUGGCAGACCAACUCCUCAGAAAACAUUAUUCUUUGACAUCAAUAUGUUUUGCACAAAAUUGAAUGGCAAGUGAAAGGCAUCAAAUGCAUAUUUAACUAUCCGGCUAUUUUGGAGAUUGAAAAAAGAAGACCUGAUUUAUCAUGUGCAAUAUCUCACACAUCUGUCAUUUCUAUUCUACCGCAAUUCGGUGAGUUCAGCCUCUUUUUACUUCAUGUUUGAAUAAUCGCAAUAGAUUUUAUACUGUUCUCACUGCUAAACUUGCUCCCCCUAUUACCCUACAGACACUCAUAUUCAUCUUGCAUAAUACCACCAGAUUAUUCUUUGUCCAUCUAUUUUCCUAGAUAUUUGUCCUCCACUUUCCUGUCUUUUUUUCUGCACUUCAUUCUACCCAUCUUAGUGAAUAGACAUCUUUUCAACUCUCUCAGGCUAUAUAUACAUCAAUUUUUCAAAAUCCAAGUAAAACUUCACGUCCUUGAGAGAAUUUUAGAGAGCGUGUAAUACCUACAUUUUUUUUUACCAUUUAUUAGGAAUAUAUCUCAGCCCCAGUUAUGUGAUUAUUACAUAUUAUAGUAUAUUAAUGUUUGCAAACUCCUUGUAAAAUCAUACACACCCCAUACUGCUAUAUUCAUUUCAAUAGCAAAACAGUUUCUUUUCAAUUUUGUAAUAAAUAUAUUAAGAUCCUGUCCUCCUCCAGGCCAAUUUUCUUCCCCUAUAUUUAAAGUGCUCUGAUGGAGGUAACUUAUUAAUAAUUUGAGCCUAAAACAGCUUUUCAAAUAUGCAUUUCAUUUUUGCACACCAAGCUGGUGUGUGCCUGCAGGCGCUAUUUCUAUUAAGUGAACAGCUGGAUAUUGUGUAGUGGAUUGACCAGGUGUUUGAGUGAACUCAUUAGUCACCAUAUAGAAGCAACUUAAAAGAAUGAGUCACAGUGAUAGUCAUCUCACUUUGGGAAAAGGAAAAGAAAUAAAUAAAAAUGUUUCAUAUCUAUCAGACAGCCACAAAGCACAGUCCCUAUCAACAGGAGCAAAUUCAAAUAAAAAUGGCCCCACCAUACAUAUUUUAUUUGAUUUACAUCUAGCACUGAAGAUAUACUUUAUGAAUUUUUCCUUUAUUCUGACAGUCAUAAAAUAAACGGAGGUGAAUCAUAUAACUUUUGAAUAUCUACAUAGCCAGAGAUAAACUCUGCAUAUUAAAUAUCUUCCAAUAUUACAUCUACCAAAAAACAUAGCAGAGGUCAUAUUUAUGUUGCAACUGAGAAAACACUCAAAUUAUUUAAAGAGAAAAUUUAAAUACUUUACUAAAAUUCACAUUAAAUUCUGAAUUUUACAUGGGUUUAUGUGGCUCUACCAUUCAUACUGUUGAACUUCUGAGUUAUUAAUAUUUACAAAUAACCCAUGUUCUUUCAAAUGAUUCCAAUGCUUACAGAAACACAUAUAAAAGUACAUACAAUGAAAUAAAACUGUGGCAAUGUAGAAAAAUGAAAACUAUAAUAUGACAACGCAAUGAAGCCAGAGUUAAUGUGAGCACAUGAAAUGAAAUCCUAACAUUUUCUCUUCAGCUUUGUCUCUGUGUCUUACUAUGCUAAUGUAGGUAAUAAGCAGUAUUGAUAGCUGGAAGAAGUAAAUUAGCACAUGAAAAGAACCUUGAUUAUUAUUUGUGCAAUUCCUGGAGUCCACUGAUACUUACCAACUCUUAAAGCUUAGAUCUAGGGUAUCCAAACACUGCUUCCUUUCCAAGAAGGAAACAUACAAAAAAACUAAGGCAGCAUGCUCUAAUUCUUUUUUUCUUUUUUUUCUUUUUUAGAUGGAGUCUUGUUCUGUGGUCCAGGCUAGAGGGCAGUGGCAUGAUCUCGGCUCACUACAAGCUCUGCCUCCCGGGUUCACGCCAUUCUCCUGCCUCAGCCUCCUGAGUAGCUGGGACUACAGGCGCCCGCCACCACGCCUGGCUAAUUUUUUGUAUAUUUACUAGAGAUGGCUAGUGUUAGCCAAGAUGGUCUCGAUCUCCUGACCUCGUGAUCUGCCCACCUCAGCCUGCCAAAGUGCUGGGAUUACUGGCGUGAGCCACCGUGCCUGGCCAGCAUCCUCUAAUUAUUAUUCAUAGUUUGUGAAUUUAGGCCUACGUGAAUAAUAAUAUAAUAUUUACUAUGAUGUUACUAUCUACCAACCUUAUUUUUCUUUUCUAUAAAAUAGGAGCCAAAAUAAUAUUUAUGUCAUACCUUAUGAAGUUAAAAUAAAAUAUAACGAAUGAGGGGCUUAACAAUGAGUGUCAUUUUGUAAUUACUUUGUACCAUUAUUAAUUGCUGAGACAGAAUAUGGUAUCACUAGUCAUCUGUAUCUAUUGCACAACUUUAUUUUGAUUCAUUCCUUACUAUUUUGCAUAGAUAGGCCUAAAUUUUUGAUCCACUGCUCAACUCCUGUCUUUAAACCAUUGGUUCUCAAAUAGAGUUGAUUUUGACACCUAGGGAACAUUUGACAACAUAUGGAGAUAUUGUUGAUUUUACAGGGCAACCCUUCAUAAGCACAGAAUUAUCUGGCCCCAAAUGUCGACAGUGUCAAGUUCGAGAAACUCUGCACUAGGCUUUUCUGUCUGGUUACUCACCCCUCUUCUUUGCACUGCCCCCAGUUUUAUGGAUAUUGAAUUCCUGAUUUCUCACUAUAUUAAUUGCACUUAUAGAUAUUCUAAAUUGAUUUGUAUAUAUCUUCCUAGUUUGACCCAUUGCUUUUAACUGAAUUUUACUGGGCUUUUAUAAAGGCCAUUUCCAUGGAGUUUAGUCAUUAUCUUCACCAAAUUUUUAUUUGCUUCAGUCUGGGGAGGAACUCUAUAUUAAAAAAUAAAAACAAACCCAAAAACUAAUUUAUGAAAGACAUUUUAUAAUGUAAUUACUUAAACAUUUUUUUUCUUCUUUCUCAUACGAUCUUUUAAAUUCAGUGAGUGACAUGUGGUUUUCAGGCUGGGUCAGGAAGUUUGCUUGGACGGGGAAAUUCUGUCUGCUGAGACACUAGGGGAGCAAAUGCCUAUGUGGGCACAGGCUGGUCACUGACCUCCUAGGGUUCCCUGACAAUAAAUUAGUCCUAGUUGAGGUCGCCAUCAUCAGAACUUAAUUGGUCCCUGGUACUGGUGAAUCUCUGCACCACAGAGACUAAUCAGUUACAGAACUCAGCUUCUGGGCAUAGGCAACCUUUUCUGUUUUUUCAAUUUUUUGUCAGCAAAGUUGAGAAAAUGAACACACUCAAACAGCCCAUUUCUUAGCUUAUCAAUAUCCGUACCCACUUCUUUCCCUCAUCAACAUGUAUUUUCCAUAUUUUGUUGGUAUUAACCUCUGACACUCAUCCACACAAGAAAGUCUACAAAGCCUAAACUAACUUUUAAACAUUAUUUAAGGUAAUAGCUUUGUCUUCCACCAGAAACCUGGCGACAUUUUUAAAAGGAUUUGAAGAGAUAUAUACCCGAGGGACAGAGAGAAAAAUUAGUGCUGACCAGUCUGGGCCUACUUGACUAACACAAAAUAGAUUAAAUUAAUAAAAACAAGAUGUUCUGCAUUUAUAAACAUGUUAACUCUUUUUAAUGUGUAUGACUCAUUAAUGAGUUCAUAAUUAGAUUUUGAAGGAUUUCAUUCUGGACCUUGCAGAUUGUAUGUAUCUUUCUGGUAAAUUAGGAAGUAUAAUUUUUCAAUAAAAAAGCUCACUGGAAACCCCUGUAACAAGUAAUAAAUAUUUAAAAUUUGCAGAAAUGUUUACUUAUUCAAUAAAUACUGACUCCACAUUAAGAAAUGCUAGAGAUAAAGCAUUUCUAAAGGCAAAUUCUACUGUUUCCUGGUUUUACAUUCUAGAUUUUAAGACAAAGAUGGCUGCCUUGAAAUUUUAGUUAUGUGAAAGAAAUUUCGUAAUGAUAUAACUUUUUCUUACUCUGACUCUGUGAGACUUUUGUUUAUAUUUUAUGAAACUAUUUCUAUAGCACAUGUUAUAUAAAUAUAUUUGAGAAAUCAUUUUUAGCUUUCAGAAAUUAGUUUGCUUAAUACAUUUUAAUUUUAAUAAAGCUCCAUUCCUCUAGUCCUUUCAUAUCUGGAAUAUAUUUCCUAUACAAUAUCUUCUAUAUUAUUUAAUACUGCUGUUUUUUAAAAGAGAAAUUGAAACCUUUUACUCAUAUAUACCAGACUUCCAAAACUGUCUUGGUUUGAAAAUCAGUUCUCCAAAAUACUUUCUCUAACUUAACUUUAUAUCUUAGGUGCAAAUACAAUCCUGAUAAAUACUAUAGUCAGGCAUUUUAAAAACUUUAUGUUUCCCAUAUACUCAGCAGAGUAUCAUCUUCUUGCCCUUUCCCUCACUAUGGUAUCCUUCAAGAACUUAUUAGCUCAAAUUCCAAAUCCUCAAUGAAACAAUCAUCUAUCAAUUUCAUAAUUCACUGUUUUAUUCAAUAAAUAUUUAGUGAAUGAUUUCUGUGUGUCAGGAGUGUAUUGGGAGCUUGGGGACAAAGUGGUGGGCUAGAUAGGCAU